UACGUAGGGCGCAAGCGUUGUCCGGAAUUAUUGGGCGUAAAGAGCUCGUAGGCGGUUUGUCGCGUCUGCUGUGAAAACGCAAGGCUUAACCUUGCGCCUGCAGUGGGUACGGGCAGACUAGAGUGCGGUAGGGGAGACUGGAAUUCCUGGUGUAGCGGUGGAAUGCGCAGAUAUCAGGAGGAACACCGAUGGCGAAGGCAGGUCUCUGGGCCGUUACUGACGCUGAGGAGCGAAAGCAUGGGGAGCGAACAGGAUUAGAAACCCCAGUAGUCC
rnacentral:rRNA from 1 species